rnacentral:rRNA from 1 species
ACGGGAGGCAGCAGUAGGGAAUAUUGCACAAUGGGGGAAACCCUGAUGCAGCAACGCCACGUGUGGGAAGAAGCAUUUCGGUGUGUAAACCACUGUCGUGAGGGAAUAAUGUUGCGUUUCGGCGCAAUUGAAUGUACCUCGAAAGGAAGCACCGGCAAACUUCGUGCCAGCAGCCGCGGUAAUACGAGGGGUGCAAGCGUUGUUCGGAAUCACUGGGCGUAAAGGGAGCGUAGGCGGAGGAGCAAGCAGUCUGUACAAUCCCGGGGCCUAACCCCGGCUCUGCAGACUGGACUGUUUCUCUUGGAUAGUUCAGGGGCAGGCGGAAUUCCUGGUGUAGCGGUGGAAUGCGUAGAGAUCAGGAAGAACACCGAUGGCGAAGGCAGCCUGCUGGGGACUUAUCGACGCUGAGGCUCGAAAGUGCGGGUAGCAAACAGGAUUAGAUACCCUGGUA